GGCGACGUGGCCAAGUGGCAAGGCAAGGGUCUGCAAAACCCUGACCGCGGGUUCGAAUCCCGCCGUCGCCU
rnacentral:tRNA from 2 species